rnacentral:rRNA from 1 species
GUCGAACGGCAGCACGGGAGCAAUCCUGGUGGCGAGUGGCGAACGGGUGAGUAAUGUAUCGGAACAUACCCAGUCGUGGGGGAUAACGCAGCGAAAGCUGUGCUAAUACCGCAUACGAUCUAUGGAUGAAAGCGGGGGAUCGCAAGACCUCGCGCGAUUGGAGUGGCCGAUAUCAGAUUAGCUAGUUGGUGGGGUAAAGGCUCACCAAGGCGACGAUCUGUAGCUGGUCUGAGAGGACGACCAGCCACACUGGAACUGAGACACGGUCCAGACUCCUACGGGAGGCAGCAGUGGGGAAUUUUGGACAAUGGGCGCAAGCCUGAUCCAGCAAUGCCGCGUGCAGGAUGAAGGCCUUCGGGUUGUAAACUGCUUUUGUACGGAGCGAAAAGGCUCUCUCUAAUACAGGGGGCUCAUGACGGUACCGUAAGAAUAAGCACCGGCUAACUACGUGCCAGCAGCCGCGGUAAUACGUAGGGUGCGAGCGUUAAUCGGAAUUACUGGGCGUAAAGCGUGCGCAGGCGGUCUUGUAAGACAGAUGUGAAAUCCCCGGGCUCAACCUGGGACCUGCAUUUGUGACUGCAAGGCUGGAGUACGGCAGAGGGGGAUGGAAUUCCGCGUGUAGCAGUGAAAUGCGUAGAUAUGCGGAGGAACACCGAUGGCGAAGGCAAUCCCCUGGGCCUGUACUGACGCUCAUGCACGAAAGCGUGGGGAGCAAACAGGAUUAGAUACCCUGGUAGUCCACGCCCUAAACGAUGUCAACUGGUUGUUGGGUCUUAACUGACUCAGUAACGAAGCUAACGCGUGAAGU